rnacentral:rRNA from 1 species
AUGAUGUCUCGUACCCCACACAAUCCAGAGCGAGAAUACCUUUCAUGUGGAAGCACUCCAGGAAGAUGCAGCAUUUGGAUCUGGAGAGAUCUAUUGAUGGAGUACGUUGAGCAUAUGGUGGAUUAUUGUGGAGCCCCACUUAAGGAGAUGCUGGAGGAUGCAAACAGAAAGGUUGCUGAACAAGAUAAGUUAAUUUGUUGCCUGAGGAUGAAGAUUGAACAAGAUAUUGAUGAGAAAAAUAGGCAGAAUGCAGAGUUCAGACUUUGUAUAACAAAGCUUCAAGGUUCAGUCUGGAGGUUGAGGAUGUUCAUAUGGGGAACAAUCAUUUUGGUCUCAACUUGCUUAGCAAUUGGUGGAUCUCCUUCUAGUCUGUUGACUAUAGUAUUAGCAGUAACGGUAGUUUAUCUGGCUUUAGGAUAG